AACGAACGCUGGCGGCAUGCCUAACACAUGCAAGUCGAACGAGACCUUCGGGUCUUGUGGCGCACGGGUGCGUAACGCGUGGGAACCUGCCCUUAGGUUCGGAAUAACUCCCCGAAAGGGGUGCUAAUACCGGAUAAUGUCUUCGGACCAAAGAUUUAUCGCCUUUGGAUGGGCCCGCGUUGGAUUAGCUGGUUGGUAGGGUAAAAGCCUACCAAGGCGACGAUCCAUAGCUGGUCUGGGAGGAUGAUCAGCGACACUGGGACUGAGACACGGCCCAGACUCCUACGGAAGGCAGGAGUGGGGAAUAUUGGACAAUGGGCGAAGGCCUGAUCCAGCAAUGCCGGGUGAGUGAUGAAGGCCUUAGGGUUGUAAAGCUCUUUUACCCGGGAUGAUAAUGACGGUACCGGGAGAAUAAGCUCCGGCUAACUCCGUG
rnacentral:rRNA from 1 species